GGUCCCAGAUGAAACCUAAUCUAAGUGGACAUCUAUGGAUGAGAAAUGUGAAUAUGGAACUGAGACAAGCU
rnacentral:snoRNA from 1 species